GGGAAGAUACAUCAUAAUUAUAAAAUAAAUAUGAUUUGACAAAAGACAACCCUUCAUACUUAUUUUCUCAAUGACCCUCUCAUUAUUUGUUUUUUACUUGUUUUAAAAGUGUCUUCCGUUACAGCAAAAAUGAACUAAAAUAUUUACAAAUAUGACAAAUUAUCAGUCUACUUAUGAUAGAUCGUGAUAUACUACUUUUGUGUCAAUCAUGGCACAGAUAAACACUUAUAGUAGUCUAUUGUAGUCCAUAACUUGUGAUAUUUUGAUAUAUUUGUAAAUAUUUUUCAACAGAUUUAUCAUUUUGAAAUAAUUCUAUUUUUUAGAAGGUUGUAAUUAACAUGUGAGAAAUUUUCUACCCUACCCCUACUUCUUCCUUGCCUACCCUAAAUUAUAUUUAUUAAUUAUUAUUUCUUUUUGGAAAAUGUUAUAAAUGUGAGAAAUUUUCUUUAUGUUUGAACGAUUAAUGCGUUGAGAAGGUGUUACUUCUCGACUAAACGCCUAGACUGAAUGCAUGAUAGCUCGCCUUAUACGAUAGUAUCUUAGCCUGAAUAGAAUGUCUUCUCUUGUCAACUCGCCUAUUGGUCAAAGUCGCCUAAGAUUCGGCUCACAGGAACUUGUCACGUACUAGUCAGUUCGCCUAAUGGUCAACUCGCAUGGUCAAAACGCUUACUGUAAAUAGAAACUAGUUAAGAAAGAAAGAAAAAUUGAGUCGUGGAUCUCACUUGUGCAAACGAAUUUUUAUCGCAUCAACGUCUCCAAAAUAAAAAAAUAAAAGAAACAUUGUUCUUCAAUCAAAAUUACACAGAGACUGUUUGGAAUACCAACACUCAAAUAGACAUUUUUUAUUGCACAGAAAACUCACAAAGAAAUAGUUUGAAAGGAUGUUUUUCUUGUUUUUCUCAUGUCUCAAAAUGAAAGCAAUUAGGAGUUUAUAUAUAGUGGAGGAAUAAGAAUGUUGGUACGUUAUUAUGAGAAUCAAAACGUUCGUUAAUUAAAUAAGAAAAUUUAAUUAUAAAAAUAAAUAAGGAAAGAAAAAGUUGAGCAAUAAAUAUAAAACAAAAUUUAAAUGUUUUCUCUUGUAUUACGCAAGAUAGUCGUCAUGGAGAUUAUGUAUUAAAGAGUCAACGAUAAUAUCAUUAUUACAUCUCAUCUCGCCUAGGAUGACAACAUGUGCAUGGAGGUCUUAGCAAAACUUCUAGUCAUCUCGCCUUGGAUGAUAGUUUGCAUGUGGAGAUUUAAUAUAUUUUAUAAAAUACGAAAUCUACAUCAUAAAAAAAUAAAAGUUGACAUUUAAUUUUGAUAAAUUUUCUUGUUAAGGACUAAAUUUUCACAAAUUUAAAGUAUAGAAUUAUAUUGUUACAUAUAAAAAUUUACCAACUAAAUUGGUAUAGAAUUAAAAGUUGAUUAGCUAAAUGUAACAAAUGAAAGUAUUUCUAAUUUAAUUAUCUUUUAAUUUUAUUUUAUGAUCGAGUUGUUAUAAAUGGGUAUGGUUCCAUUGGAGUGCGUGAAAGUUAAAAGGAAAAGGAAAAAGGAAAGAAAGAGAGUUCUUCCCCACGUGAACAUUAAUGUCACCUCUUCUCUAGCGCGUCUCACGAGCCACGCUGCUGUCGCUCAUACCCGUCCGUCGCUUCUUCCAAAUCUUAGUUUGGUGAGUUUGGGUGGGUGUUUUAUUUGGGUCUUUUUAAAUAGGUUUUCAAGUGCUCAUUCAAAUUUAAUUAAUGCUCUAAUUAAGGUUUAUUUUUAAAUUAAUUUAGAGUUUUUCUUGGAAGAAUCAAUAGGAGAUCUUUUGAUUAAAUUCUUAGUUUUCUCCCAAAAUUAGAAUUGACUUCAACUCUCAUCUUGGGUAACUUAAUGGGAGAUUGAUUUGGGCAGUAAAAUUAUUAAUUAUUUUCCUUAUCAUUAGGUUAAUUGGGUGGUUUAAUUUCCAUCCACCAAUUUUACAAACGAGUUUAAUAUUUCUACUAUCCCACCUUUGAUUUAAUAUUAAAAUUGUUUAGGUACUAUAUGGAUUGACUAUCGAUUAUGCCAUAAUUAAAAUAAAUUGAUAGGCUUAGGUGAGAGUAUGACUGAAAUUGUGUAAUUAUAUAUGGAGAUAAUAAGACAAGCUAGUAAGCUACGAGAAAGACCCGUGACCUACCAUAUCUAGACUUUAUAAUCCUGCUUCUGUUUGAUGUGUUUUUAUUUUUUUUCCACGUUUUCAAGAUUUAUGAGUAUUAUUUCAUGCCAUGAUUGGUAAAUUUUUUUUUUUGUCAUUUUUUUUUAAAAAGCUUUGAACACUUUAUAUUUAUCUUUAAAAUUAGAUAAGAUCCAUAUUAGGUUUAUUUUCUUAGUUUUUUCUUCUUUUUUUUUUUCUAUUUGGUUUGUAAAAAUUUUGUUUUUAGAUGGUUUGUUUUAUGUUUUAUUUAAUAAAAUAAGUAGUAUUUGUUUUGUUUUAAAAUUUUAAAAAUAUUGAGCUCAUGUUAAAUCUAAAUAGUUAGGUCAAAUUAUAGUUACCAAAAGUGCUUUUUAACAUUUUUUUUUAUAAAGAACUACAUAUUUAAAAGCUGGAAAAUUACCAAUCCAUUUGGUGUCUAGGUUCUAUUUAGUCCAUAUAGAUUUCUAUAGACUCUUUUAACUCAUAUAGCC
rnacentral:lncRNA from 1 species